rnacentral:tRNA from 1 species
GGAGAGGUGUCAGAGUGGUCGAAUGUGCGGCUCUCGAAAAGCCGUGUCCUCUCAAGGGACCGCGGGUUCGAAUCCCGCCCUCUCCG